rnacentral:rRNA from 1 species
GACGAACGCUGGCGGCGUGCUUAACACAUGCAAGUCGAACGAGUGGCGAACGGGUGAGUAACACGUGGGUGAUCUGCCUUGCACUUCGGGAUAAGCUUGGGAAACUGGGUCUAAUACCGGAUAGUGCAAGAUGAGCUCGCGGCCUAUCAGCCUGUUGGUGGGGUAAUGGCUACGAAGGCGCGACGGGUAGCCGGCCUGAGAGGGUGGACGGCCACAUUGGGAUUGAGAUACGGCCCAGACUCCUACGGGAGGCAGCAGUGGGGAAUUUUGGGAAAUGGGCGCAAGCCUGAUCCAGCCAUGCCGGGUGUCUGAAGAAGGCCUUCGGGUUGUAAAGGACUUUUGUUAGGGAGACGGUACCUAAAGAAUAAGCACCGGCUAACUACGUGCCAGCAGCCGCGGUAAUAC